GCCGCCGACAUCCUGCCAACACGUGCCAACUAGUGCUGUGUUUCUGGAGCGGUAAUAUGCUAGUUAAUAAGGCGACUGUAGCUACGCAAAGACAGCGGUGCCACGGCGCUACCCACCCACGGUCCACCCUUCCACUCCCAGUACGCCUCAGUCUUUCGUGACGGAAGGUGUGUGAGUUAGCAGUUACAGGUGUAGUAAAGGGGAGAAGAUGAGCCUUUCAUGGAAUAACAGGGAAACACUAUUGUUGCUGCACCGCUGACCCUCACUCACUGUGUUUGGUGAGAUGUGAAGAAGUGCAGU